rnacentral:rRNA from 1 species
ACGGAAGGCAGCAGUGGGGAAUAUUGGACAAUGGGGGAAACCCUGAUCCAGCGACGCCGCGUGAGUGAAGAAGUAUUUCGGUAUGUAAAGCUCUAUCAGCAAGGAAGAAAAUGACGGUACUUGACUAAGAAGCUCCGGCUAAAUACGUGCCAGCAGCCGCGGUAAUACGUAUGGAGCAAGCGUUAUCCGGAUUUACUGGGUGUAAAGGGAGCGUAGACGGCAAAGCAAGUCUGAAGUGAAAUCCCGGGGCUCAACCCCGGAACUGCUUUGGAAACUGUUUAGCUAGAGUGCAGGAGAGGUAAGCGGAAUUCCUAGUGUAGCGGUGAAAUGCGUAGUUAUUAGGAGGAACACCAGUGGCGAAGGCGGCUUACUGGACUGUAACUGACGUUGAGGCUCGAAAGCGUGGGGAGCAAACAGGAUUAGAUACCCUGGUA